UUAAAAACUUCAAUAUAUUCAGUAGUUUACACAGCCAGACACCAUGCAAAAGUAAAGUUUUACCUUUAAAAUAGCUAUGAUGGUAUGCUAAGUUUUUUCAUGGCAUGCUGUUGUUAAAAGGAGGUACAAAU
rnacentral:snoRNA from 1 species